AGUAGCCGCGACCCCCUGCCGCCAGCGUGACACACAAGUCUUUAAAAGGCUCUCUGCUCAGGGGAGAGAACUUUCUGACUCCAAGUUCACUGACGGCCUGAAAUUAUGCUUUCAUGUUCUCAUGCCAAAGAAAGGUAAGUUCGCGUGAGCCUGGGAUCUGUCCUGCCAUAGGAAUUCUUCACAGGAACUCUUCACAGGAUUUCUGAAACUCAGGGAAAAAGCAAUUCCCAAGGAUCACCUGAUCCAUUGCUAUGCUUUCAUGUCAUUAUGUUUUGCCAAAAUUAGUGACUCACGCAAUGCUUGGAAAGAGAAACCUGACAUUUUCCAGAACUCUCUGUAGAGCAGGUCCUUAUUGCCACCUUUCAAAACUGUCAGCUAUAGAAAGGAUUAUAGAGGUUGAAAGUUUUAAAGUGAUAUUUAGACUUGUUGGGCCCAAUGAAGCCAGGAUAUUUUUUCUGCUGUUAAAUGAUUUUUUUUUAAGGUAAAAAUGUUCUGUGCCAGAAAAACUUUCACCAGGUCAUUUUUUCUAAACAAGUUCACACUGGAAUUACAUGUUUGAGAGUUGUGUCUAAUUUAAAAUGUCAAAUUACCUCAUUUUUUGUUAGAAUUGAUGGGAUAAUAAAAUGAUCUCCUCUUGAAAUUUAUUAUGGAUUUGAAAGUCAAUCUUUCUUUAAAAAAUUGAGAAAUUAUGGGAGAUGCAUGAGCUAUAGUAUAACCUUCCAUUUAAGUUCACAGAGGUUUACAGUCAGAAAGACGAGAUCAGGUGCCAGUUCUGCCAUUUACUUGGUUGAUGACUUUGAAUAACAUACUUAACGACUCUGAGCCUCAAUCUCCUCUUCUGCGAAAUGGACUAACAUCUACCUCUCAGAGUUGUAUAGAUUAAAUGAGUUGAGUAUGUAAAGGAUUUAGCACAGGCCCAGGACACCUAAAACUACAUAUAUAUAUAUAUUUUUUGUUGUUAUUGUUGUUGUUGUUUUCUGAGAUGGAGUCUUGCUCUGUCGCCCAGGCUGGAGUGCAGUGGCGCGAUCUCAACUCACUGCAACCUCUGCCUCCCAGGUUCAAGCAAUUCUCCUGCCUCAGCCUCCCAAGUAGCUGGAAUUAUAGGCACCUGCCACCAAGUCUGGCUAAUUUCUGUAUUUUUUUUUAGUAGAGACGGGGUUUCACCAUGUUGGCCAGGCUGAUCCGCCUGCCUUGUCCUCCUAAAGUGCUGGGAUUACAGGCAUGAGCCACCUCGCCUGGCCCUAAAACAAUAUUUUUAAAAAUAAUUAUAACUUGGAUACAGCAUCCUUAAUAAUUAGGAUGUAAUUCAUUAUUUAUUAUUUUAUUUUUUCUUAGCCUGAAUUUGUUAGUAUUGUUAGAUUAUUGAUAAACAAAAAUGGUGAUAACAGGCAUGCUUUCUCUUCUUAGUGAUUUUAAUAAAAUGCUUCCAGAAUAUAUAAUUUAUAUAUUUAUCACUUUAAGGUGGUAUGUUUUUACUACUUUUCUGUUUUUUAAAUCAGUGAUGGAUAAAGAAUUACACAAAAUGCCUUUUUAGCAUCUACCAAGUUUAUCUAUUUUUUUCUUCUUUGACCAGUUAAUAUGGUGAAUUAAGUCACUAGAUUAAAAAAAAUUAAACUAUUUUUACAUUCCUGAGGUUAAACUCCAAUUGGUCACUGUGAACUGUUAUUUUAAUAUAAUGCUGGAUCAUGUUUGUUAAACAAUUUACUUAGGACUUUUGCAUAAAUAUUUGUGAAUGAGAUUGGUCUGUAUUAUUUUUUUCUGUGUUUUCUCUGUCUGGUUUUGGGUAAAUGUUAUGAGUCUUUGUAAAAAGAAUUGGUGUGUAUUCUUUCUCCAUCGGUUGAAAUAAUGUAUAUAGAGUAGGGAUUAGCUGCUUCUUGAAAGCUUAGAAUAAUUUUGAAAUCAUCUGAGUCUGAAUUUCUUUAUUAUUAUUAUUAUACUUUAAGUUCUGGGAUACAUGUACAGAACGUGCAGGUUUGUUACAUAGGCAUACACAUGCCUUGGUGGUUUUGCUGCACUCAUCAACCCGUCAUCUACACAUUAGGUAUUUCUCCUAAUGCUAUCC
rnacentral:lncRNA from 10 species